rnacentral:ncRNA from 2 species
GAGGGCUAAAGCAUGUCUCCCGAAAGUGGGAACUGGUUUCGGAUAAAGACAUACGUAAAAAUAAAAGCUCAAAGCGUGUCGCGUAAAUAUGAUUGAACGCGACACGCCUUAGCGUCAGGCAAGACUGAAGCUCAGCUGAAUUUUUGUGU